GUUCCAUCCUCAAUUUAAAAGCAUUCGGAAUUUGAACGUGAAAUUGCAAUAACAGUUCAAGAUAUAAAUGGACACAACCACUGCGAUAUUAUGUUAUUCUAGACGAGUCGAAAAGUUCAUCCUCUACAAUAAUUGCCAUACUCCAUUAAGUCCGAAAAUCCAUCGUCUCCAGCUGGAUCCGUUUCCGGUCUUCCUAAACUCACUCGGCAUAUACCUGAAAAACAUUAAACAAACAACAGCAGAAAAAAUAAUCUAAAAUAGGGGAUUGUCGGGGUAGGUGGG
rnacentral:lncRNA from 1 species